UCCAUUCCGUUCUGUUCCAUUCCAUUCCUUCAUGUAUCCAUGCAUUCCAUCCAUCCAUCCAUCCAUUUAUUCUAUCUAUGCCGUCACUCACUCAAGAGACAUUGGGCUUCUAGUAUAUGCUAGACUCUGUUCAAGACACUGGGGGAUAUAGAAGCGAACAAAACAGAUAAUGAAGAGAUAGUGUCCUUACCCCCAUGGAACUUACAUUUUAGUGGGAGAAAUAAACAACAAAUAAGCAAAUAAAUAAAUAUGUUAGGAAGUAACAUAAAGCUUUGAAGAAAAGUAGAGCUGGCUAAGAUGAAGGGGAGUGAUGAGAGCAGUGUUUAGAUCGUGUGGUUCAGGGAACAUCUCUCUGAGUAGAGACUUGAGGGAACCCAGCAGCUGGGUAGAGAAGAGCACCUGGACAGAGGAGUAGCAGGUGCCCAGGCCUUGAGGGGGAAGAUGCUGGAGUGUGAGAGGCCAGGAGGCCAGUGCUGCUACAGUGGAGUCAGGGCAGGUGACACAAGAUUUAUUCCAGGUGUGAUGGGAAGCCACUGGAUAGUUUGUGGGGUGGGGGGCUAUAACUCGACUCUGAUGCAGAGGUCCAGUCUGGCUGCUGUGUGGCAGUAGAUUGUAGGGCAAGAGUGGAAGCUGAGAUACCAGUUUUUUGUUUUUUUCUAAAAUGUUUUUACUGUGGUAAAAUAUACAUAAAAUGUACCAUCUUAGACAUUUUCAGCAUACAGUUGAGUGGUAUUAGAUACAUUCAUAGUGUUGUGUGGCCAUCACCACCAUCCUCUCCAUAAUGCUUUCAUCCUGUGAAACUUGAGACAUCGGUUUUGAGGCUGUUGCAGUGGUGCUGGGGAGAGAGGAUGGUGCUCAGAGGAUGGAGCCACAGAGGCAAGGAGAAGUGGUUGGGUUGACAGAGCUGACGAGUGAGGGGGAAGGGCAUAAAGGAGGACCUCAGCACUUUGGACCAUCAAAUUAGGAGACAGGGAUUCAGUGGGGAACUCACCACGAGACAACCUAAAGGCUGGCAGUAGGAAGAGGGGUUAGUCUGGCUUUGCAUUGUAUUUCUCUGGAGUGCAGGACUAGGGCAGUGGGUUGGACCUUGAGGGGUAUUGCAGGUGGGAGGUAGAAGAGCAUUAGUGGUGCUGAAACCUGCACACUUUCGAGCCAGAGUGCCUUGGUCCAGGUGCCUGCCCCACCUCUCACAGUAUGGCCUGGGACAGGCAACCUCUCUAUGCUUCAGUUUCCUCAUCUGUAAAACAGACCUAAUUUUCUACUUCAUAGGGCUGUGGAGAGGAUUGAGUUAAUUCGGUUAACUCAGUUCACUCAACUAACUCAAUUGUAAAGUGCUGAAAAGCAUGUGUGGCAUGUAGUAACAUGCUCAAUACAUGAUUAUUGCUACCUGGAGGCGGUCCCAGAAUAAUGCCCUGGAUUAUGAUGCUUUCAAAUGUCCCGGAUAUGAAGUUCCAGAUUAUGAUGCUUUCAAAAGGUGCACUGGCUCCUCCUGAGACCAUUGUACUCCCACCAUUGGACAGGCUCUGCACCUGCUGGGGGACUGGGCAGGCUGUGGAGGGAUCUUCCCACUCUGCGAAGUGGGUGUAGCUGAUGGCCCCCAGAAGCCCCAGCCUCCAGCUCUCCACACUCUCUUCAGCCCCUUCUGUGAUAUGUCUCGCUCUUAAUCCUUUUUGCUUUAAGAAAACUCUUCUUUGCCCUUUUACAUCUUCUGUUGACAUUUAAAAUUCCUUCCCUUUGUUCUGACCUUAUUGAAUAGAGAGAAUAAUUUCUUGGAAUUCUCUGUAUAAUGAAUGUUCAGGUACUUACAGAUGCUGAUCGAGUUUCUCCUCAACCUUUCCUUCGAGAGACCUUGCAUCAUUUGGUGUAGAAACACUUUAGGAAGCACUUAGGAAGAUGGUGUAAAAUGAAAAUGCUGCUGCUGUUCUUGCUGUUGCUGCAAAUGUGAGCCCUUUGUAACCCAGAUAUCAGCUUGGGUACCCUGCCCUUAGAGAUGCAAAUGAAAUUGGCUCAAACUCCCAUACCAUGUAUCCUACAAACCCUGAAGUGUUCCCAGGUUCUCUGCAAAUUUUUGUGAAGCUGGUGGUGGUGGUGUUCAGUGGCUCACCCACAGAAUAAAUACUCUGAUCCCCUCACUCUCCUAAACAUUCCUACCAGAAGGCUGGGUGUGGAGAAGAUUUUGACUGAGUAAUGAAGCAGUAGUUCUGGCAGACUAACCCUCCCACAGCUAACAACUAUAAACUGUACAACAGCAACAACAACAAAACUACCUGAAGGUAUUGGAGAGCAAAAAAAAGCAGGCAGAGACUGGACAGACGUCUACCCUCCAAAGAAGGAAAUGGUACUGGAUGAGUUUCUGACUUUUAUGAUUUUGUCUGUUUGUUUUGCCUAAGCAUAGGCUCCAGUCUGUGCCAGACAGGCUGCUAAAAAUUUGUAUAGAAAAUCUGUAGUGUUACUGGCUUGAAGAACCAGAGGACAGAGUUUGGGGUAACCACAGCAGCUGGAAAGUGGCUAUAAACUCUACCCAAAUCUUUGAAUGCAGACUCUAAGCAGCUCAACUAAGGCAAAGAGAACUGAAUAGAAAUUUCUGCUGCUGCACACCGCAAGGGAAACAGAGUUUGAAAUUUGAGUAGAGCCAGGUUAGCUGCGUGUUUUUUUUUUUAAAUCAAUAUUCUUCAGAGGAGCAUAAAAGAAUUUAGAGAUAACAUACAUUUUGUAAUGUUCAGUAUUCCACCCAAAAUUCCUAGAUAAAGCAAGAAACAGGAAGAGGGGGCCUAUAUUCAAGAGAAAGGCCAUCAAAGGAGCUUAUUGCCAAGAUGAUCCCAAUGUUGAAAUUAGCAGACAAGUAUUUUAAAACAGUUAUUAUAGAUGUGCUGAAGGACACAAAGGAAAAUAUCCUCGCAACAAGUAAAACAACGGGGAAUCUCAGUAGAGAAAUAGAAGCUACAAGAAAAACAAGUGUUAAAUUCUGGAACUGAAAAAUACAGUAUCUGAAAUGAAUAAUUCACCAUUUCGAUUCCAUAACAGAGGGAAAUGACAGAGCCAGUGGACUUGGAGAUAGAUCAACAGAAAGUAUUCAGCCUUAAAACAGAGAAAAAUGAUGGAGGAGAAGAAGGACAGAUACUCAGAGAACUGUGGACAAUAUCAGAAAAUCUAUUAUACAAGUAAUUGAGCUCCAGAAGAGAGGAGGGAGAGAAUGGGGAAGAAAAAAAUAUUUUCAAUAAAUAAUAUCAGGAAAUGCCCCAUAUUUGGUGAGUUUCUUUUUUAAAAGAAAAAAAAAAAUCCCAAACAUGUAAAUUGCAAACAGGACAAAUACAAAGAAAACCACACCUAGGCAUAUGGUAGUCAAACCAAAGAUGAAGAGAAAAUCUUGAAAGCAGUCGGAGAAAAAUGAGUGUCAUGUGGAGGAGAAUAAUCAUGUGAAAAACUACUCACUCUUCACCAGAAAUAGUGGAGUCUAGAGACAAUGGAAUGGUAUCUUUAAAGAUAGAAAACUAAAAAUGGUAUCUUUAAAGUUCAUACUUAUAGUGAAUGAGAUCAGUUUGUAGAUCACUGCUGGCCUUCUUGUUAUCUAUGACACAGUGGCUCACCCACAAAACAAAUAUUUGGGUCUCCUCACUCUCCUAAAUAUUCCUAUCAGGAGGCUGGGUGUGGGGAAGAUUUGACUGAAAUGGAGUAAUGGAGUAUGUGUAUGGCAGGUAUGAGGUGGAGGUGAGGAGGUGGGGUAUCUUUGAUGGCAUCUUUAAAGAUAGGAAACUAGGAACAUGUCAACUCAUGAUUCUGUAUCCUUCAAGAAUGAAUGUGAAGCCAGGCAUGGUGGUGCAUGCCUGUAAUCCCAGCUACUUGCGAGGAUGAGGUGGGAGGAUCACUUGAAGCCAGGAGUUCAAGACCAGUCUGGGCAAUGUAGUGAGACCUUGUCUCAAAAAAUUAGGUAGGCAUGGUGACAUGCACCUGUAGUCCCAGCCACUCAGGCUGAGACGGGAGGAUUGCUUGAGCCCAGGAGUUCAAGGCUGCAGUGAGCUGUGAUUGUGCCACCCAGGCUGGAGUACUCAGCCUCCUGAAUUUACUGUGUCUAGUAUCCAAAUAAAGAUUACAAAACAUGCAAAGAAGUAAAAAAAAUAUGAACCAUGAUGAGAAGAAAAAUCAGUCAAUAGAUACAGAUCCAGAAAUGGCACAGAUGAUACAAUGAGUAGACAAGAACUGUUCAACCAACUAUUAUAAACAUAUUACAUAUGUGCAAAAAGGUAGAGACUAGCAUGAGCUUAUUAAGAAGAGACAUGGGCGAUACAAAAAAGAUCCAAACUGGACUUCUAGAGAUGAAACAAAGUCUUCAGUGAAAAACACAGUACAUGGAAUUAACAGCAGAUCAGAAACUAUAAAAGAGGUUAGCGAACUUGAAGUCAUAGAAGCUAUCCAAAGUGAAAUACAGGGAACAAAAAGCUUGGGGGAAAAAUGAACAGAUCAUCAGUGAGCUGUGGGACAACUUCAGGUUCACCCAAUAUAUGUGAAAGUGGAGUCCUCAAAGAAGGGUAGAACAGAAAAAAUAUUUAAAGAAAUAAUGGCUGAAACUUUUCUAAAUUUGAUGAAAAUCAUAAACCCAUAGAUUCAAGAAUCUCAGUGAACCCCUGGCACAGGAAACAUGAAGAAAAAAGUUCACCAAGGUAUAUUAUAAUGAAGUUUCUUUUCUUUUCUUUUCUUUUUUUUUGAGACGGAGUCGCACUCUGUCUCCCAGGCUGAAAUGCAGUGGUGUGAUCUCGGGUCACUGCAACCUCCGCCUCCCAGAUUCAAGCGAAUCUUCUGCCUAAGCCCCCAGGUAGCUGGGAUUACAGUUGCCUGUCACCACGCCUAGCUAAUUUGUAUUUUUAAUAGAGACAGGGUUUCACCAUAUAGGCCAGGCUGGUCUCGAACCUCUGACCUCAAGUGAUACACCCACCUUGGCCUCCCAAAGUGCUGGGAUUACAGGCGUGAGCCACCGCACUUGGCCUGAAAUUUCUUAUAACUACUGUUAAGGGGAAAAAAACUUAAAAGUAACCAGAAGGGGGAACAAGGCACAUUACAUACAGAGGAGCAAAGACGAGAGUGACCUGAACUUCUCAUUGGAAAUACUGCCAGAAGACAGUGGAACACCGUUUGAAAGCACUGAAAGGAAAAGCCAAAACCAAAACCACUGUCAACCCCAAAUUUAAUAUCCAGUGAAAUAUCUUUUAAAAAAGAAAGGCAGAUUACUUUUUCAGGCAUUUUAAAACCGAAGUGAUUUCGCCGUCAGCAAACUUGCGCUAUAAGACAUGUUAAUAAAGGGAGUCCUUGACACAGAAGGAAAAUGAUGCUAGAGAGAAAUCUACAUUUGCAGAGAGGAAUAAUGAGCACUAGAAAUGGUAAAUAUGUGGGAAAAUGUAAGAUGUUUUUUGUUCUUAUUUAAAAAUCACUUUCAAUGAUGAUUGACUGUUUAGAGUAAAAACAUAAUAAUGUGCCGUUUGUAACAUAUGUAGAUGUAAAAUACACAAUAACAAUAGCACAAAGGCUAGGAUGGAGGAGAUUGUGUAUAUUAUUGUUACAGUUCUCAUAGGGGAAGUGAUAAUAUUACUUGCAAGUAGUCUGUGAUAAGCUAAAGAUGUAUGCUGUAAACCUUAAAGCAACUAGUAAUAAAACAGAUUUAUGGUUAUAAGUCUAACAAUGGGAGAUAAAAUAACAAAAGAUAUUCAAUGCAAAAGAAGGCAAAAAAAUUAGGAAAGAGGGAACAAGGAACAGAUGGGAUAAAAACAAAUAACAAGAUUUAAACCCAAACCAUAUCAAUUAUGGAUGAAAUGGUCUACCCAUCCCAUUUGAAAGACAAAGAUUGUUAGGUUGGAUAAAAAGUCAAGACUCAGUGCCUAUAAGAAACCCACUUUAUAAAGACACAAAAAGUUAAAUAUAAAGGGAUAGAAAAAGAUAUAUCAUACUAAUAGUAAUAAAAGAAAGCUGGAGUUAACAUAGACAAGAGCAGAUUUCAGAGCAAAGAAUAGUACCAGGAUAAAGAGACUCAUAACAACAAGGGGGUCAGUUCAUCAAAGGACAUAACAUUAGGUGUGUAAUGUCAGCUGCUUAAACAUUAGGUGCAUAAAUAUUUAUAUAAAUAAUAAGCGAGCUCUAAAAUACAUGAAGCAAUACUGACAGAAGCUGAAUGGAGAAAUAGUAAAAUCCACAAUUAUAGUUGGAGAUUUCAACACCCCGCUCUCAAUAAUCAAUAGAUCAAGUAGACAGAAAAUCAGUUAAGAUUUAUAAGACUGGAACAACACUGUCACCCAAUUUGGCUUAAUUGACAUUUAUGGAACACUCCAUGUAACAACAGCAGAAUAUACAUUCUUUUCAAUUGCCCAUGGAAUGUCCACCAAGAGAGACCAUAUAAAACAAGUCUCAGUGUAUCUAAAAAGAUUGGAAUCAUUCAAAGUAUAUUCUCUGACUACUAUGGGAUUAAAUUAAAAAUCAGUAACAAAAGUAUCUGGACAAUUUCUAAAUAUUUGGAAACUAACACACUUCUAAAUAGCCCGUGGGUCAAUGAAGAAACAGAUAGAGACAUUAGAAAGUAUUUGGAAUGGAAUGCAAAUGAAAACACAAUAUAAAAAAUUUGUGCAGUGUUACUAGAAGAGUUCUCAGAUAGUAAUUUAUAGCACUAAAUAUCUAUAUUAGUUGGGAAGAAAUUUUCAAAUCUGUGAUCUCAGCUUCUACCUUAAGACACCAGAAAAAGAAAAGCAAAUUCAACCCAAAUAAGCCAAUAAAAAUAAGAGCAGAAAUAACUGAAAUAGCAAAUAGAAAAAUAGUAGAGGAAAAUCAGUGAAACAAAAAGUUGGUUCUUUGAGACCAAUGAAAGGUAUAUUUAGCCUGACUCAUGGGAGAUAACAGAGAAAAAUUGCAAAUUACUAAUAUUAGGAAUGAGAGAAGUGACCUAAUUAUAGAUACUGCAGACAUUUGAAAGACACUAAGGUAAUGUUAUGACCACCUUUAUGCCAAUGAAUUCUACAACUUAGAUGAUAUGGAAGAGUUCCUUGAAAGACGCAAACAAUAAAAGCUCAUUCAAGAAGAAA